rnacentral:rRNA from 1 species
GCUUAGAGUUUGAUCCUGGCUCAGGAUGAACGCUGGCGGUAUGCUUAACACAUGCAAGUCGAACGGAGUACUUCGGUACUUAGUGGCGGACGGGUGAGUAACGCGUGAGAAUCUGCCUUCAGGAUGGGGAUAACAGUGGGAAACCAGUGCUAACACCCAAUGAGCCGAGAGGUAAAAAAUUUAUUGCCUGAAGAGGAGCUCGCGUCCGAUUAGUUAGUUGGUGGGGUAAAGGCCUACCAAGGCGGCGAUCGGUAACUGGUCUGAGAGGACGAUCGGUCACACUGGGACUGAGACACGGCCCAGACUCCUACGGGAGGCAGCAGUGGGGAAUUUUCCGCAAUGGGGGCAACCCUGACGGAUCAAUACCGCGUGAGGGAGGAAGGCCUUUGGGUUGUAAACCUCUUUUCUUAAGGAAGAAGCUCUGACGGUACUUAAGGAAUCAGCAUCGGCUAACUCCGUGCACAGCAGCCGCGGUAAUACGGAGGAUGCAAGCGUUAUCCGGAAUUAUUUGGACGUAAAGCGUCCGCAGGCGGCAUUAUAAGUCUGCUGUCAAAGAC